rnacentral:misc_RNA from 1 species
GAUGAAGAACGUAGCGAAAUGCGAUAAGUAAUGUGAAUUGCAGAAUUCAGUGAAUCAUCGAAUCUUUGAACGCACCUUGCGCUCCUUGGUAUUCCGAGGAGCAUGCCUGUUUGAGUGUCAUUACAACCCUCAAGCUCAGCUUGGUGUUGGGCCCCGCCGCCCCGGCGGGCCCUAAAGUCAGUGGCGGUGCCGUCCGGCUCCGAGCGUAGUAAUUCUUCUCGCUCUGGAGGUCCGGUCGUGUGCUCGCCAGCAACCCCCAAUUUUUUUCAGGUUGACCUCGGAUCAGGUAGGGAUACCCGCUGAACUUAAGCAUAUCAAUAAGCGGAGGA